GCUUGACUGUAGCUUGUAAUUGGGUUCGGGCUUUUUUGCGCAGCCUAGGUGGAGGCAACGAUGAUUUUUUUCCGGAAAAAUUUGAGCCGUUAGUGAGAGACCACUCUGAAAAGGCUAGAAUCCUAAUAAUGAUCCUUGAAUCAGGACAUUUGACAGUUGCAGGUGGGCAGUUUUACUGGGCGGUAUUCUCCUAAAAAGUAACGGAGGGGUGCAAAGGUUCCCUCAAGCUGGACGGAAAUCAGCUUAAGAGUGUAAAGGCAAAAGGGAGCUUGACUGCAAGACCUACAAGUCGAGCAGGGCGAAAGCCGGCCUUAGUGAUCCGACGGUACCACGUGGAAGGGCCGUCGCUCAACGGAUAAAAGUUA
rnacentral:rRNA from 1 species